rnacentral:rRNA from 1 species
GACGAACGCUGGCGGCGUGCUUAACACAUGCAAGUCGAACGGAAAGGCCCUGCUUUUGUGGGGUGCUCGAGUGGCGAACGGGUGAGUAACACGUGAGUAACCUGCCCUUGACUUUGGGAUAACUUCAGGAAACUGGGGCUAAUACCGGAUAGGAGCUCCUGCUGCAUGGUGGGGGUUGGAAAGUUUCGGCGGUUGGGGAUGGACUCGCGGCUUAUCAGCUUGUUGGUGGGGUAGUGGCUUACCAAGGCUUUGACGGGUAGCCGGCCUGAGAGGGUGACCGGCCAAAUUGGGCAGAGGGAAGGGCCAGGACCCCACCGGGGGGGAGAGGGGGGGAAUUUUGCACAGUGGGCGGAAGCCUGAUGCAGCAACGCCGGGGGCGGGAUGACGGCCUUCGGGUUGUAAACCGCUUUCGCCUGUGACGAAGGGUGGGUGACGGUAAUGGGUAAAGAAGCACCGGCUAACUACGG